rnacentral:rRNA from 1 species
AGAGUUUGAUCCUGGCUCAGGAUGAACGCUAGCUACAGGCUUAACACAUGCAAGUCGAGGGGAAACGGACAUCGAAAGCUUGCUUUUGAUGGGCGUCGACCGGCGCACGGGUGAGUAACGCGUAUCCAACCUGCCCAUCACUUGGGGAUAACCUUGCGAAAGUAAGACUAAUACCCAAUGACGUCUCUAGAAGACAUCUGAAAGAGAUUAAAGAUUUAUCGGUGAUGGAUGGGGAUGCGUCUGAUUAGCUUGUUGGCGGGGUAACGGCCACAAGGCGACGAUCAGUAGGGGUUCUGAGAGGAACGGUCCCCACAUUGGAACUGAGACACGGUCCCAAACUCCGUAACGGGAGCCA